UGUAAGGGUAACGGGGCGUAGUAGUCGGCUUUGGAAGGUGUCGUCAUGGUGGCGACCGAUCGUUUCACAGUUUGGAAAUUGCGAGGGUAUAGACUGCAAAGGGAAAAAGAAAAGAGUUCUUAAAAUUGAAGAUUUUGGGGUUGCAAGCAAUAAGAAUCAGUUUUCCGGUUUACCUGAAGAGUUGCAGGGACUGAAGAGAAAUGGGCGGGACACUGACAGAAGGAGCUCCGCAAGUUCUCCUUCAAGCUCGUCUUCUACCUCGCCCUCUCCGCGGUUCACUUCAUAACAUUUUAUAUGCCACUCUGGGGUGCAAUUCUUUACAAUGGUUUUGCAUACUUUCAUGUCAUACGCACGCUAAACAAUGCAACCCGUGUAUGUAUGCUGUAGUGCGAUAGGCAUGUCAGACCAGGCAUACCAGUCAGAUGCAAGAGCAGACAUGAAGAUCCUAGAAGCAAGCUCCUCCUUAGUGAUCUGCUCCUCUUUUAGGAACUCCAGAUCCUUGGCCUCAAGAUCAAUCACCGCUCUCCCCGCUUUUGCUGAUUGCCUUGCUCAGCUUGUCGAAGAGAACCCUGAUUCAAGAACUCCUUCGAGGACAUCUUCAAGGAGCAAUGGAAACCAGGAGAUUUACCCAUGUUCAGUUCAACAAAUACCAAAAUGCAGCAGUGAAUUUGAACAUAAUCUCACUAUGCCGGCCACGUGAUGCCACGCGCCACCGUCUCUGCUGUUUUUUUUUUUUUUUUCCCCUGUAUUUCUGGCUUUUUCUUUGUAUUUUUGGGUAUGUUCUUUUCUGCCUUCCUCCGGCUCGGGUUUUGGGUCUCUCUUGGGUUUUGGGUUUAUUUGUUGUUUCUUGGGAGGGUUGUUUGAGGUUUUUGGUGGGUUGGGGGGGUUUGUUGGGUUGGGGUAGUUCCAAAGCUGGUUUGGGUGUUUUAUGGGGGCUUUUACUGUAUUUUGGGUUUUAUGUGGGCUUCGGGUGUUGUGGGUCCUUGUGGGUUUUUUUGUGGGCUCUUUUUGUAGGCUACCUGGAUUGUUUCUGUGUAUACUACCUGUGUACUUAGGGGUGCCUUACGCUUUUUUAAUAAAAUUUUCUUACUUGCCAAAAAAAAAAUCAUAAUAACAUUCUCUAGAAAUCCCUAUGCUAGCAAAUGAUUUGAAGAGAAACACAACACAAGGAAAUCUUAGAGAGAGGUGGGUUAGAAAGAGAAGCUCUCAACCACGCCAUAACUAUGACUUUGGGCUUUCUUAGAACCCUGUAAAGCGUAAUCUUUUUUCUCAAUAAUGAAAAAUGUUAUAAUUCCUAUUCCUUUCAUUCCACAUGCUG